rnacentral:rRNA from 1 species
UGCCAGCCGCCGCGGUAAUACGAAGGGGGCAAGCGUUGUUCGGAAUCACUGGGCGUAAAGAGCACGUAGGCGGAUUGUUAAGUUAGGGGUGAAAUCCCGGGGCUCAACCUCGGAACUGCCUCUGAUACUGGCAAUCUUGAGAUCGAGAGAGGAGUGUGGAACUCCGAGUGUAGAGGUGAAAUUCGUAGAUAUUCGGAAGAACACCAGAGGCGAAGGCGGCACUCUGGCUCGAUACUGACGCUGAGGUGCGAAAGCGUGGGGAGCAAACAGGAUUAGAUA